UGGUUUUGGGUUCUUAUCCCAUUUGAGACCAAAUUUCAACAAGUCUUUCUUCUCACUUCUAAACAUUCUUCAUGCAUGUCUAGCACUUGUAAUCAAACAAAUUCAUUGUAUUAUAACAUAUUCUAACCCAAAAUAACUUUAUACAAGCCAUUCACUGCCUCAAAGCAAUGGUUUUAGGUUCUUAUCCUAUUGAGACCAAAUUUCAACAAGUCUUUCUUCUCACUUCUAAACAUUCUUCAUGCAUGUCUAGCACUUGUAAUCAAACAAAUUCAUUGUAUUAUAACAUAUUCUAACCUAAAAUAACUUUAUACAAGCCAUUCUCUGCAUCAAAGCAAUGGUUUUGGGUUCUUAUCCCAUUUGAGACCAAAUAUCGAUAGGUCUUUCUUCUCACUUCUAAACAUUCUUCAUGCAUCUCUAGCACUUGUAACCAAUCAAAUUCAUUGUAUUAUAACAUAUUCUAACCCAAAUAACUUUAUACAAGCCAUUCUCUGCCUCAAAGCAAUGGUUUUGGGUUCUUAUCCCAUUUGAGACCAAAUAUCCACAAGUCUUUCUUCUCACUUCUAAACAUUCUUCAUGCAUCUCUAGCACUUGUAAUCAAUCAAAUUCUUUGUAUUAUAACAUAGUCU
rnacentral:lncRNA from 1 species